GAUGAAGAACGCAGCGAAAUGCGAUACUUGGUGUGAAUUGCAGAAUCCUGUGAACCAUCGAGUCUUUGAACGCAAGUUGCGCCCGAAGCCAUUAGGCCGAGGGCACGCCUGCCUGGGCGUCACACGUCGUUGCCCCCCCAUCUACUCCUUCGGGAUUGCGGGGGGCGGAUGAUGGCCUCCCGUGCGCCUCGUCGCGCGGUUGGCAUAAAUGCCAAGUCCUCGGCGACACACGCCACGACAAUCGGUGGUUGCGAAACCUCGGUUGCCCGUCGUGUGCGGUCGUCGCGCAUCGAGGGCUCGAAAAAAUUGCCGGGCUCCGGCUCGGCUUUCAACGCGACCCCAGGUCAGGCGGGGUUACCCGCUGAAUUUAAGCAUAUCAAUAAGCGGAGGA
rnacentral:misc_RNA from 1 species